GGGGGUGCCUGGAUUCGACUUCGGUCGUCAAGACAGGAGAAGCGAGCCGUGGUUGUCGGAGUCCACGUAAAAGAGCCGGCAAAAAAACAAACGCCGACAAUAACGUCGCGCUCGCAGCCUAACUAGCUGUGACGUCCUCCCGGUCUCGGUCCUGCGGGCCGGAAUGGGACGCCAUCAAGCAGGACUCACCGGAACGAACGGGUCAGCGGUUCGUUCCGGGACAUCUCAGCUGACUGGGGCCUCUCACCGUUGCCGGUGAAGGUGGGAGGCCCGAGAUCUUCCACCGGCUGCGCUCGGAGAAGUCCCGUCGAGAACCCGAAGGACGAGGGUUCGAUUCCCUCCACCUCCACCC
rnacentral:tmRNA from 1 species